rnacentral:rRNA from 1 species
UACGUAGGGGGCAAGCGUUGUCCGGAUUUAUUGGGCGUAAAGAGCUCGUAGGUGGUUCGGUAAGUCGGAUGUGAAAUCUCCAGGCUCAACCUGGAGGGGUCAUUCGAUACUGCCGUGACUAGAGGUCGGUAGGGGAGUGUGGAAUUCCUGGUGGAGCGGUGAAAUGCGCAGAUAUCAGGAGGAACACCCGUAGCGAAGGCGGCACUCUGGGCCGAUACUGACACUGAGGAGCGAAAGCGUGGGAAGCGAACAGG